AAGGUAGAAACAAACAGCCAAGAUGCAAUCGUUGUUCUGGCCGUCCACGUGUCACCAUAACAUAUUGCCUGCUCCUCCAAUUAAAUGUUGAGUUUCCUCUGUGACUCAGAACAGAACAAACAUCGUCUUCCAUUCUUCGCGUAUUUGCUUGCUUAUACAUCUCUCUCAGGGAAAAAAAUGAGUGGCCGGUCAAGUCGCACAUUAUAUGUUGGCAAUCUUCCUGGUGAUAUUCGCCUGAGAGAAGUUGAGGAUCUUUUCUACAAGUAUGGUCCUAUCGUUGACAUUGAUUUGAAGAUCCCUCCGAAACCACCAGGUUAUGCUUUUGUUGAGUUUGAGGAUGCUCGUGAUGCUCAAGAUGCGAUUUAUUAUAGAGAUGGUUAUGAUUUUGAUGGUUAUCGAUUACUGGUUGAACUUGCACAUGGUGGACGGGGAAGUUCAUCAUCAGUAGACCGAUACAGUAGGCAUAGCGGUAGAAGUGGUAGCCGUGGAGUUUCCAGGCGAUCUGACUAUCGUGUUCUGGUUACUGGAUUGCCUCCUUCUGCUUCAUGGCAAGAUCUGAAAGAUCACAUGCGUAAAGCUGGUCAUGUGUGUUUUUCUCAAGUGUUCCGUGAGCGUGGAGGCUUGACUGGGAUAGUGGAUUAUACCAAUUAUGAUGAUGUGAAAUAUGCUAUCAGGAAACUUGAUGACUCUGAAUUUCGGAAUGCAUUUUCACGAUCAUACAUACGGGUGAGGGAAUAUGAUCGGAGUCACUCCAGAAGUCCCAGUCGUGAUUCGAGGAGGAGCUAUUCUCGAAGCCGCAGCCCAUAUGUAUCACGAAGUCGAAGCUGCAGUCUAAGUCAUAGCUACAGUGGCAGGAGCAGAAGUUUGUCUCCAAAAGCAAAACACUCUCGGCGCUCAUUUUCCCUUUCAAGAUGUAGCCUUUUGCGGCGACCUGGGAACUGCAUGUUAGGAUCUUGAUGGCAUGUGGUGCUCAAACGCCUGCAACUUCGUGGUAUGAGACUGAAUGACAGUAGAUGGAUGAGUUGGAAUGUAAAAGCCGGAUCACUGUGAACAUAAUGCUAUUGGUAACAAGUAACAACAAUUACAAAUCAGCAGACAGUUUAAAAACUUCAAAUAACCUAUGCUCUAAGUUCUGGGUUGAGCUUAUCCUUUUCUUUAGGAUUUCUUUUAAUGUCUGAUAUUGAAACUGGUUACAACUUAACUACAAUUGAUUCAAUUCAAGGUAUCAUGCACUGCUCACAAAUCACAAUAGAAUUUUAAGGAUUGUGCAUGACAUUGAGUUCAAUUACUUUCCUCCUCUACUCGGAUCAAGAUUUGUGGUAGAUUGAUUUCUUCCUUUUGGUUACACUAACUUUGAUGUGGAAUUUGGACUUGUGGGGCAAGUCAUCAAACUUUUCAUGGUUCAUUCUAGAUAUUGAAUUGAUAUUUGUUCAUUUUUAUUUUUGCAGAUCACAGUCGAGGUCCCGAUCUCCAAGUCCAUCCCCUCGAGGUUACCAGAGCCGCAGUCCUAGCCAAAGUUCAAGGAGCCUGUAACAAUCUCGUUUCGCUCAAGUGAGAUCUGAAUGCAGUCGAUGUAUGCAAUCUGGGGAGGCCACUGCUGCAGAACAUGCACCAUCAUUCUGUGCUACAUCUAAGAUCCAAUACAGCUCUAUUAUUUUCACCAAAAUAAAAACAUAUAUAGCUCUAUUAUAGCUCAGACUAGUUUGUAUUUGAAUCUUAAAUUUGAUUGGUGAAACUGUGUAAGAAGCAUUUAAAUUUGAAGUGGAUGAUUUGAACGAACUGAAAUGAUAUUGUAUUAUCAACAUAUGACUGGGCUAUGUCACAUAAUAAGGCCUGGGCGUUUAGCAGUUUACAAUUACCAUAUUGGAUUGGCUGUUUUUACCCUAGAA